rfam:Cricetulus griseus cell line CHO-K1, whole genome shotgun sequence.
GGAUGUGAAGGUGAUCUGGCUGUGACAUCUGACACGCCAUUGCUUUCCAGGGUUGAUUGGGAUGAUCUGGCUUGCUAGGCAGGUGUCUCCUUCCUUCCUCACCGCUCCAUGUGUGUCCCUCCAGAAGCUCUGUGCUCUGUCGAUGAGGGCAACCUUCACAAAUAGAGGAGGACUGGUCUAUGGUUCAGGGUAUACGAGUAGCUGUGCUCCCAUGCUAGAACCUCUAAACAAGCUUCCCAGGACCACUGGUUUUUCCUUUUUUGUUGGUUUGAUUUUUUCCAGACAGGGUUUAUCUGUAGCUUUGGAGGCUGGCAUGGAACUAAGUUCUGUA